GUGGGGAAUUUUGGACAAUGGGGGCAACCCUGAUCCAGCAAUGCCGCGUGCAGGAAGAAGGCCUUCGGGUUGUAAACUGCUUUUGUACGGAACGAAAAGGCUCUGGUUAAUACCUGGGGCACAUGACGGUACCGUAAGAAUAAGCACCGGCUAACUACGUGCCAGCAGCCGCGGUAAUACGUAGGGUGCAAGCGUUAAUCGGAAUUACUGGGCGUAAAGCGUGCGCAGGCGGUGCUGUAAGACAGGCGUGAAAUCCCCGGGCUUAACCUGGGAAUGGCGCUUGUGACUGCAGUGCUGGAGUGUGGCAGAGGGGGAUGGAAUUCCGCGUGUAGCAGUGAAAUGCGUAGAUAUGCGGAGGAACACCGAUGGCGAAGGCAAUCCCCUGGACCUGUACUGACGCUCAUGCACGAAAGCGUGGGGAGCAAACAGGAUUAGAAACCCCAGUAGUCC
rnacentral:rRNA from 1 species